UUUUAAAUGACAGGCAAUUUCAAGUCUGCGUUCAACCCUGUCUGAUCAUUAUAAUCAGGAUUAGGGUGUCCCACAAGGCAGUAUUUUGUCUGUCACUUUGUUUAGUAUCAAAAUCAACAGUUUAGCAAAGGUUUUAAACGAUUCAAUUGAUGGAUCAUUGUUUGUGGAUCACUUUAAUGUUUCUUGCCGUGGUAGGAACAUGCAUACGAUUGAGAGGCAAAUGCAAUUGUGUUUAAAUAAAAUCCAAAAAUGGUGUUUAGAAAAUGGCUUUAAAUUUUCCAAAUCUAAAACUAACUGUAUUCAUUUUUGCAGAAAAUAUAAACCUCACAAAGACCCAGAACUAAUGUUAGAUAACACCCCCAUUAAAGUUGUAAAAGAAGCGAAAUUUUUGGGUGUCAUUUUCGAUCAUCAUUUAACCUUUUUACCUUGUAUAAAAUACUUAAAGAAUAAAUGUUUGAAAGCCCUAGAUUUUUUAAAAGUUGUCUCUAAUUCCAAGUGGGGAGGGGAUCAGAAAACCAUCCUCCAAUUAUACAGAGCACUUAUUCGCUCUAAACUGGAUUACGGCUCCAUCAUCUAUGGUGCAGCCUGCAAAAGCAACCUUAUACUUUUGGAUACUAUCCAUCAUAAAGGUCUAAGACUAUGUCUUGGAUCUUUCCGCACUUCUCCUAUUGACAGUCUGUACGUUGAGGCUGAUGAGCCAUCUCUUAAAGGGGAAGUGUACACGCAAAAAUCGCUUUCUUUCUUGUUUUAAACAAAACGCAAUUUUAGAAUUAGUUAGUAUCAGUGUUAGAAAAUAUACACUCAUUUUUCUCACAGUCAAUGUAGCGAGCUCACAAUAAGUGUGAAAAUGUCAUGCCGUUAUGAGGCCUUCGUUUUCCGAGCUAAACAGGCCUGAGUUAUCCCCCUUAGAUUAUGACGUAAUUGGUGCCAAUUUAACUGGGUCCCUGUCUUGUCACAACGCAAAAGAUAUCAAGUACCAGUUUAUGGUGAGACAACAUGGCAUCCGAUACCUUGCCUGAUCCGAAGAAGUUCCCUUGACCCUUCAAGAAAUCGCAAAACCAUACGAUUUUGAACCAAAACGAGCAAGCUUCGCGGUAUGGAAACGAUGAAAAUCAAGUGGAAACAAGAGAAGACCCACAUCACCUAAUUUGACACCCGACCCCGACUCGACAUCUACACAAUUAAGCCUACGAUCGACAACGUGAAUCGAUCUACACCUCAUAAACAAGAGGUUCACUUUGGGGAUUUGCAGAAAUAGUUGAAGAAUCAGAGAAAAGUUAUUCCAUCUUGUGUUGUCGAGGUGAUUUGUGAGAGAUUUGCAUUUGAUGUAUGUAAUGUUUUUCUCUAUGCUCAUUAAAAUAAACUUUUUUCAUUGAAA